rnacentral:rRNA from 1 species
GGAAUGAAGCGCCAUGGAGGGUGAGAGCCCCGUCCAUCCCGCACAGGAUCCAUUCGUACAAGGACGCUUCAACCGAGUCGGGUAGCUUGGGAAUGCUGCUCUAAUUGGUGGUAAAUCUCAUCAAAGGCUAAAUAGUGGUGGGAGACCGAUAGCGAACAAGUACCGUGAGGGAAAGAUGGAAAGAACUUUGAAAAGAGAGUGAAAAGCACUUGAAACCGUCACGGGGGAAGCGGAUUGCGUGAGUGAUGGUGUCGCUUGUUCAGCGCUUUAUUGCGUGCAUUCUGGCGGCGCCGUGCCGGCGUGGCUGGCUGGACUGUGAUUUUGACAGUCUCGGCUGGUGAGGGCUCCCUCGUAUGAGGUGAGGACGCGGGCAAAAUGACGCAAUACGACCCGUCUUGAAACACGGACCAAGGAGUCUAGCACGGCUGCGAGUCGAAGAGUGAUUAAACUCAAGGGCGCAGUGAAAGCGAAAUUAUAAGCAAAUUGGGGAGGCGUUGCGUUUUUAACAAAAUGUCCUACCUCGAGCAUUUGUGCUGGGACCCGAAAGAUGGUGAACUAUGCCGGAGUAGGGCAAAGCCAGAGGAAACUCUGGUGGAGGCUCGUAGCGAUGCUGACGUGCAAAUCGCUCGUCGAACUUGGGUAUAGGGGCGAAAGACUAAUCGAACCAUCUAGUAGCUGGUUCCCUCCGAAGUUUCUCUCAGGAUAGCGGGCCGACACGCGUUUGUUGUUUUGUGCGGUAAAGCGAAUGAUUAGUGCAUUUGGGGUACGAAGUACUUCGGGCGAUUCUCAAACUUUAAAUGCGCAAGGGGGUGGCUGCUUAAUUGAGCCUACUCUUUGAAAAACGUCGGCCCUGUGGGCCACUUUUGGUAAGCAG